CUUCCUCUUGAUUAUAUUCCAGAGGUUUUCAAUUUGUUAAAACCAAAGAAACUCAUCAUUUUCCAGAUAAGUAAAUUGUCAUGUGGAGCAUUUAUUUACAGAAAGUAUUGAAAAAGAUGCAGAGCUUUCAGACCUUAAAUAAUGCAAAGAAAACAAGUUCAUAUUCAUGAAGUUUUAAGAGUUCAGAAAUCAAUAUUUGGUGGUUUCAACAACCCAUAGUGCUCUCCUCCACCAGUCUUACACACUGCUUUUAGGUGAACUUAUGCUUAUUACACUCCCGGCCACAAGAACAGGGUAAAAGGAGGCUGAUGAUAAUAAAGUAUAUAGAAAAACCGGUGUUUUCUGUUUUGACUAAAUCUCUCUCUCUCUCCCUCUCUCUCUCUCUCUCUCCCUCUCUCUCUCUCUCUCUCUGUCUCUCCCUCUCUCUCUCUCUCUCAGUAAAUUCAGGCCGCAGUCGGAGCAGCAGAAUGAUAAUUUCUCUCUCUCCACCAUCGCUGAAGGCUCUCAGGCAAACAAAACCAUGAGCAAAUACAUUUGGGAGUAUAGGCUCAGUGAGGAGCGCUGCGGUGAGGUAAGAUGAUCAGAAACCUGCUGUAGAUCCUUCCUGACUCUCUGCUGUGCCUCACUAACCCCCAAACAUGGCUCAGAUCUCGCUAACACCCCACCCGGCUCAGCGUCCUGCACCGUCCUGCAGCUCCCGUAUGGCCUUCCUACCGCAGGACCCUUAUCUUGGCUUAAACCUGCGCUCUGCCUUCUGCUGCUCGGUCUUCUGAAGAGUCGAGACGUUCUUAUACUCGCCAAACUAGCACAUAAAAACGGGUUAUUUUUAUUUUUAUUAUUUGGAAAGGACUUUUCUGUUCAUAUUCUGUUGUCGAGCUACACCAUAAUCAGGCCUUUUUUUUUAGAUUUAGAUUUAACAUUAAGUCUAAUCCUGAAUUUUAUCACUAUUUAAUAGGAGGAAGUUGUGCGACAUCCAUGAUUUUACAUCUUCUACACAAUCCUCGAUUUUCUUUAGUCUAGAUGAGUAUCAUCCACAUAGUGCUAUAAUAUAAAACACUAAGGCUUUAAAUUAAAGCUUUGGUUUACUUUUUCCCACAAAAUUAAACAAUAUAUAUUGUUAUAUGAAGAAAUCAGACUUCAUUAUUAGAAAAACAGAUAAACAAAGCUAAAUAUAUUAAUUAAAUAGUUCCACAAACUUCUAUAAAUAGUCCUAAAAUACUCAGUGUUUAGUAUUCAAAAAGAUAAUUUAACACCCUGUAUCCAGAGUUUUAUGGAGUUUUAUCACUUGUGCGGAAUAAAUAAUUCUAUACCCAGGACCGAUCCUGGGCC
rnacentral:lncRNA from 1 species